GCCGGAGGAUGCAAGCGUUAUCCGGAAUGAUUGGGCGUAAAGCGUCCGCAGGUGGCAGUUCAAGUCUGCUGUCAAAGACCGGGGCUUAACUUCGGAAAGGCAGUGGAAACUGAACAGCUAGAGUAUGGUAGGGGCAGAGGGAAUUCCUGGUGUAGCGGUGAAAUGCGUAGAGAUCAGGAAGAACAUCGGUGGCGAAGGCGCUCUGCUGGACCAUAACUGACACUCAGGGACGAAAGCUAGGGGAGCGAAGGGG
rnacentral:rRNA from 1 species